rnacentral:rRNA from 1 species
UACAGAGGUCCCAAGCGUUGUUCGGAUUCACUGGGCGUAAAGGGUGCGUAGGUGGUGAGGUAAGUCGGAUGUGAAAGCUCCGAGCUCAACUCGGAAAUGGCAUUGGAAACUACCUUGCUCGAGGGUUUGAGGGGGGACUGGAAUACUUGGUGUAGCAGUGAAAUGCGUAGAUAUCAAGUGGAACACCAGUGGCGAAGGCGAGUCUCUGGACAUUUCCUGACGCUGAGGCACGAAAGCCAGGGGAGCAAACGGG